ensembl:misc_RNA Metazoa_SRP Metazoan signal recognition particle RNA
GCCAGGUGCAUUGGCGUGAGCCUGUAGUCCCAGCUACUCGGGAGGCUGAGGUGGGAGGAUCGCUUGAGUCCAGGAGUUCUGGGCUGUAGUGCACUAUGCCGAUCAGGUGUCCACACUAAGUUAGGCAUCAAUAUGGUGACCUCCCAGGAGCGGGGGACCACCAGGUUGUCUAAAGAGGGGCGAAUUGGCCCAGGUCAGAAACACAGCAGGUCAAAACUCCUGUGCUGAUCAGCAGUGGGAUCGUGCCUGUGAACAGCCACCGCACUCCAGCCUGGGCAACAUAGCGAGACCCCAUCUCUA